rnacentral:lncRNA from 1 species
CCUCGUCGGCUUUGUUGGUGGUGGUGUACUAGUCUUGCACUUCUUCCUGGACAUAGUAGUGGUUUACGUUUCAAAUAGUGGAUUUUCGAAUAGUGAAUUUACGUUUUUUUUGUUUGUCAGUUUUGUGUUGUGUUAGUAGUGAAUUAAGUAUGUUUUUAGUGGAUUUCAAUAAGUUUGUUGUGGAUUAUGUUAAUAUUAAAAUGGA